rnacentral:misc_RNA from 2 species
CUGAGUUUUUAACUCCAAACCAUUGUGAACUUACCACUGUUGCCUCGGCGGCAGUCCUUCUUUACGGGAGGCGGCCGCCGGUGGACUACUAAACUCUUGUUAAUUUUUGUCAAUCUGAAUAAAAAACUUAAUAAGUUA